UUCGUUCCUUCGGUUCGCGAUAAUGCUUCUGCGAAACGUUGUCACUGUUCUAUUUCCACGGCAACCGCCAGUUCUGAAAUUAACCCUUUCCUGACUAGACUGCUGCAGUCUGAUACCACAUGGGCUAAGUUGGAUGAAUCAGUGGUAACUUGGUGCUUACUGGGCGGUGGUUUUGUGAAUCAGUCGUCUAGCAAAGGGGGGUUUUCUGUUCUUCAGAAAGACUCAUUCAGAGAAACCUAAUUCUCAGCUCAAACCUCUGGAUCAUACCACCUCUCUCCUCUCUCUACCCUUCUCCUCCUCUCUACCCAUCUCCUCCUCUCUACCCAUCUCCUCCUCUCUCUACCCUUCUCCUCUCUCUACCCUUCUCCUCCUCUCUCUACCCCUCUCCUCCGCUCUCUACCCUUCUCCUCUCUCUACCCCUCUCCUCCUCUCUCUACCCUUCUCCUCCUCUCUCUACCCUUCUCCUCCUCUCUCUACCCUUCUCCUCCUCUCUCUACCCUUCUCCUCCUCUCUCUACCCCUCUCCUCCGCUCUCUACCCUUCUCCUCUCUCUACCCCUCUCCUCCUCUCCCUACCCAUCUCCUCCUCUCUCUACCCCUCCUCUCUCUACCCCCCCUCCUCUCUCUACCCAUCUCCUCCUCUCUAGCCCUCUACCUCUCUCUACCCCUCUCCUCGCUACCAUCUCUACCCCUCUCCUCUCUACCAUCUCUCCACCUCUCUCCUCUCUACCCCUCUCGUCUCUACCAUCUCUCUACCCCUCUCCUCUCUUCCAUCUCUACCCCUCUCCUCUCUUCCAUCUCUACCCCACUCCUCUCUACCAUCUCUCUACCCCUCUCCUCUCUACCAUCUCUACCCCUCUCCUCUCUACCAUCUCUCCUCUCCUCUCCUCUCCUCUCCUCUCCUCUCCUCUCCUCUCCUCUCCUCUCCUCUCCUCUCCUCUCCUCUCCUCUCUGAAACAUCUCUCUCCCAUGUGCUGUUUAUGUGUGUAAGUGUGAGAGAGUGAGUUGUGUGUGUGUUGUAUUCGUCAAUCUGUGUGUGUGUGUGUGUACUUGUCAAUCUGCGUUCAUGACAAGGUAAAUCAUUAGUUCGGUUCGCACCCCUGAAAAUCAUUCUGAGAAACGCUGUGUCACUGAUCUAUUUCCACGGCAACCGCCAGUUCUGAAAUUAACCCUUUCCUGACUAGGCUGGGCCAGGGGCUGGGCCGAGGGCUG
rnacentral:lncRNA from 1 species